rnacentral:rRNA from 1 species
GACGAACGCUGGCGGCGUGCUUAACACAUGCAAGUCGAACGGAAAGGCCCUGCUUUUGUGGGGUGCUCGAGUGGCGAACGGGGGAGUAACACGUGAGUAACCUGCCCUUGACUUUGGGAUAACUUCAGGAAACUGGGGCUAAUACCGGAUAGGAGCUCCUGCUGCAUGGUGGGGGUUGGAAAGUUUCGGCGGUUGGGGCUGGACUCGCGGCUUAUCAGCUUGUUGGUGGGGUAGUGGCUUACCAAGGCUUUGACGGGUAGCCGGCCUGAGAGGGUGACCGGCGACAUUGGGACUGAGAUACGGACCAGACUCCAACGUGAGGCAGCAGUGGGGAAUAUUGCACAAUGGGCGGAAGCCUGAUGCAGCAACGCCGCGUGCGGGAUGACGGCCUUCGGGUUGUAAACCGCUUUCGCCUGUGACGAAGCGUGAGUGACGGUAAUGGGUAAAGAAGCACCGGCUAACUACGUG